CAGCCUUGAACUCAGAAAAACCCUCUCCCCGUGCCGAUGUCACCUCCACCGGCCCAGCUAUCCCCAAUCUGCCAGGCCCAGCCCCGCACCCAGGUCGACCAUGCCCCUUGGCCUGGGGAAACCGGCCACUGGGAAUCUGAACUGACUUUGAGGCCCCUCUGGGGGCCAGCAGGGCCCGGUACAUCCAACGGAUGGAGUGAUCCUGGAGCAUAUUUAUACUGACUGCUUUACCUCGUGUGGUGGCCGGUCUUCUGUCUUCUUCAGAGCCUUCCCUCCUAUCUCAAGUCCUCAUCCACCCCUCCAGAUGGCCCCUGGCAUAGUCCACUGGCCCUGCUGGGCCUCCUCCAGGCACUGAACCCAUCUGAGAAAGUUACAGAAGGCAUCUCCGAUUCACAACACGCCCCCCGCCAACCCCCCACUGAAUAACACGUCGUCUGGCAACAGGAGGCGUUUGAUUACAUUUGGAUGGAACGCCUGCAUCAACUCCAGUUGUCCCCGAAUUGGAACUGCUGGGCCUCACGUGCUGCAGCCAACAGUUUGCCUUCACCCACUCCCCUCUCCGAAAUGAACCUUUCUCUGGGAAAACAAGAAACCUACGUGCCAUCCUGGGUGAGAGACGAACAAUGGCUGCGUCCCAGCAUCGCAUCCCAAGCGUGACAGGCAAGAGCACACUGAGGGGUUUCCAACAACGAGCCACGCUUCAAGCAUCUCUGGAGAUGCCCUCUGAACCAGAGGACCCAAAUGUUCUCCCCGGAGCCCUGCGGUCUCUGUGUUUAAUUCAGUGCGUGGGCCUUAAGUUCUCACUGCGUGAGGUCUAAGGCACCCAGCUACUGUCCCCUUUAGCGAGCCUCCAUAACCUCCCUCCCCAUGCUCUGACUUUGCUUAAUCGCUGCAGCAGGCAGAGUAAUCGCUCCCCAAAGACACCAUCACCCUAAUACCCAGACCCUGUGACUAUGCUAUAUUACAUGGCAAGGGGCGGGGGGUGGGGGUGGGGAGGGGUGGCUAAAGUCGCAGAUGGAAUACAUUUUGCUGAUCAGCAGACCUUAAAAAAUAGACUCUCCACAGUAGUCCCCCAAAAUAGAGAGACUAUCCACAAUAUGGUGGCCACCAUAUUAUUGCAAAGGUCUCCAAAUGGGGAGGAGGGAGGCAGAAGUGUCAGACCCAGAAGAGUGACAUCAGGAGAAAGACUCGGUUUUCCAACUGCCACCUAUGAAGAUGCAGUAAGGGGCCAUGAACCAAGGAAUACAGGCAGAAAAAUCUGGAAACGACAAGAAACUGGAUUCUUCCCUAGAGCUUCCUUGGUGUUAACCCAGGGAGGUCUAUUCGGACUUCCGACCUCUAGAACUGUAAUAUUUGUGUUGUUACGUAGCAAUAGGAAACCAAGACAGUCACUGUGGACUUGCCAUGUGCCAGGCCUGGUACCAGAUGCCAAGGGAACAUUCCCACAGCAUGUGGUUUGUACCGUGUAUCCGUCAUCAGAGUCCUGCAGGGAAACUGAAGCCACUGUAAGAGUCUAAACACAGAGAAUCCAACGCAGAUCACUGGCUAUGUAGGUGAUAGCAGAAGUGAAAAAGUCAGUCCGGCUGUUAGCAAUAGCAGAGGUUGCUACUAGGCUGGGCUAGAGGGAUAUAGAGAAGAAGCCAUAUUGCCAGAGUGCAGAGGUCAAGGUUGCCAGGUGGAAACUGGAUCACCGUGCACCUAUCCAGCAGGAGCUGGACGGGACAGAGCCCUGCUUUAGAUGCUCCUGAGGCAGAAAGGGAGAGAGAGAGAUACCUUGCUUUCUCCCUUUCUCCUGCCCUCUGAUUUCCUGUCCAGGCCUCCCGUUGGCUGCUUCCAGCCAGAAGCUAGCUGGCGAAGGGCCUUGGGAUAUGCAGAGGUCAGCCCUCCUGUAGUACAGAGGGGAGCUGGGGAAGAGCAGACCGUGAAUUAAUGUAUUUGAAGAUGAAUAAGCCCAAGACACCUCCUUUCUGCAUUGAUCAUCACGAAUCUCGAAGCAUAAUUAUCGUUUAAAAUGCAAAUUCUUUACGUGACUCCUGAGACCCUCCAUAAGCUGGCCCUUCCCUAACUUCUCUGCUCUCACUCUCUACAGUUCCCCCCUUCACUCACAGCAUCACCACCGCACUGGCCCUUGCUCUGUGCUCCACAUGCCAGAAAGUCUCACCUUGGGACCUUGCGCUUGUGGGUUGUAGCCGCUGUUAGAGAACAAGAAAUAAAUGUGUUUGGGGCUGAGUCAUUACAUUAACCUGCCUGAGCUGAAACAAUUUCCAGUGAUAAGAAUUCUCAAUGCCUGGUCCAUAAUUGUCCCUCGAUAGUUCUCAAGAGUUAUUAUUAAGUGACUGGAUUUUAGACACUCGGUAACUUUGGGUUCAGGGGUGCAGUGUCUUUUUCUUAUCCUCACUCCUUCCCCACCAAGUUCCCUGAGGACAAGGAAGUC